rnacentral:rRNA from 1 species
GACGAACGCUGGCGGCGUGCUUAACACAUGCAAGUCGAACGGAAAGGCCCUGCUUUUGUGGGGUGCUCGAGUGGCGAACGGGUGAGUAACACGUGAGUAACCUGCCCUUGACUUUGGGAUAACUUCAGGAAACUGGGGCUAAUACCGGAUAGGAGCUCCUGCUGCAUGGUGGGGGUUGGAAAGUUUCGGCGGUUGGGGAUGGACUCGCGGCUUAUCAGCUUGUUGGUGGGGUAGUGGCCUACCAAGGCUUUGACGGGUAGCCGGCCUGAGAGGGUGACCGGCCACAUUGGGACUGAGAUACGGCCCAGACUCCUACGGGAGGCAGCAGUGGGGAAUAUUGCACAAUGGGCGGAAGCCUGAUGCAGCAACGCCGCGUGCGGGAUGACGGCCUUCGGGUUGUAAACCGCUUUCGCCGGUGACGAAGCGUGAGUGACGGUAAUGGGUAAAGAAGCACCGGCUAACUACGUG